UACAGAGGUCCCAAGCGUUGUUCGGAUUCAUUGGGCGUAAAGGGUGCGUAGGUGGCGGGGUAAGUUGGAUGCGAAAUCCUGGGGCUCAACCCUAGAACUGCAUUCAAUACUGCCUUGCUGGAGUACUGGAGAGGAGAUUGGAAUUUACGGUGUAGCAGUGAAAUGCGUAGAUAUCGUAAGGAAGACCGGUGGCGAAGGCGGAUCUCUGGACAGUUACUGACACUGAGGCACGAAGGCCAGGGGAGCAAACGGG
rnacentral:rRNA from 1 species